rnacentral:rRNA from 1 species
CCUACGGGUGGCAGCAGUGGGGAAUAUUGGGCACUGGGCGCAAGCCUGACCCAGCCACGCCGCGUGCAGGAAGAAGGCUUUCGGGUUGUAAACUUCUUUUCUCAGGGACGAAGCAAGUGACGGUACCUGAGGAAUAAGCCACGGCUAACUACGUGCCAGCAGCCGCGGUAAUACGUAGGUGGCAAGCGUUAUCCGGAUUUACUGGGUGUAAAGGGCGUGUAGGCGGGACUGCAAGUCAGAUGUGAAAACCACGGGCGCAACCUGUGGCCUGCAUUUGAAACUGUAGUUCUUGAGUACUGGUGAGGCAGACGGAAUGCGUAGUGUAGCGGUGAAAUGCGUAGAUAUUAGGAGGAACACCAGUGGCGAAGGCGGUCUGCUGGACAGCAACUGACGCUGAGGCGCGAAAGCGUGGGGAGCAAACAGGAUUAGAUACCCGAGUAGUC